GACGAACGCUGGCGGCGUGCUUAACACAUGCAAGUCGAACGGAAAGGCCCUGCUUUUGUGGGGUGCUCGAGUGGCGAACGGGUGAGUAACACGUGAGUAACCUGCCCUUGACUUUGGGAUAUCUUCAGGAAACUGCGGCUAAUACCGGAUAGGAGCUCCUGCUGCAUGGUGGUGGUUGGAAAGUUUCGGCGGUUGGGGCUGGACUCGCGGCUUAUCAGCUUGUUGGUGGGGUAGUGGCUUACCAAGGCUUGGAUGGGUAGCCGGCCUGAGAGGGGGAUCGGCCGCACUGGAAGUGAGACACGGCCCAGAGGCCUACGGGAGGCAGCAGGAGGGAAUCUGGGGCAAUGGGCGGGAGCCUGACGCAGCAGGGCCGCGUGCGUGAUGAAGGUCUUCGGAUCGUAAAACACGGCUAUUGGGGAAGAAAAAAUGUGGACGUGACAAGGACCGUCUUGACGGGAAAUAAUCAAAAAGCCACGGCUAACUACGUG
rnacentral:rRNA from 1 species